rnacentral:rRNA from 1 species
GUAGGGAAUCUUCCGCAAUGGACGAAAGUCUGACGGAGCAACGCCGCGUGAGUGAUGAAGGCUUUCGGGUCGUAAAACUCUGUUGUUAGGGAAGAACAAGUACAAGAGUAACUGCUUGUACCUUGACGGUACCUAACCAGAAAGCCACGGCUAACUACGUGCCAGCAGCCGCGGUAAUACGUAGGUGGCAAGCGUUAUCCGGAAUUAUUGGGCGUAAAGCGCGCGCAGGCGGUUUCUUAAGUCUGAUGUGAAAGCCCACGGCUCAACCGUGGAGGGUCAUUGGAAACUGGGGAACUUGAGUGCAGAAGAGAAAAGCGGAAUUCCACGUGUAGCGGUGAAAUGCGUAGAGAUGUGGAGGAACACCAGUGGCGAAGGCGGCUUUUUGGUCUGUAACUGACGCUGAGGCGCGAAAGCGUGGGGAGCAAACAGGAUUAGAAACCCUGGUAGUCC